rnacentral:lncRNA from 1 species
AACAAUUAUCGGACACGUUUUGGGUUAUAAAAUCGGACACGUUUGGGGAUAAUAGACACGUUUGGGGGAAUCGGACACGUUUGUGGGGAAGAACACGUUUGGGAGUGUUACACAUAUAUUACUCAAUAUUUGACAGCAAUUAUUCAGGCAUUUAAUCGUAUGCAAUUACAAUUUUUUUUCUCGAUAUAUUGAAAUAACCGAAGUAACUUACAUGUUGUAGACACAUUGUAUGUUUGCCACAUUCUUCUCAAUUAAGAUCAGUUUUUCUUGUCGACGCACCCGGAAUCACAUGAUCAUAAUAAACACGUCAUAGAUACCGUAUUGAUAUUUUGUAGUUGCAUCAGACGUGCGUGUCGUCUACUAAAUACUCAUCAGUGACGCUCGAAUAUAAAAAAAGUUCAAAAGGCCAAAUAAAGGUCAAAGUUGAAGUUCCUGUGAUUUCCAAGAUUUUUGUUUUGGUAACCGAAAGUUGUCUCCGAUUUAUCACCAGAUUUU